rnacentral:rRNA from 1 species
CAGCCGCCGCGGGAAUACGUAGGUCCCGAGCGUUGUCCGGAUUUAUUGGGCGUAAAGCGAGCGCAGGCGGUUAGAUAAGUCUGAAGUUAAAGGCUGUGGCUUAACCAUAGUACGCUUUGGAAACUGUUUAACUCGAGUGCAAGAGGGGAGAGUGGAAUUCCAUGCGUAGCGGUGAAAUGCGUAGAUAUAUGGAGGAACACCGGUGGCGAAAGCGGCUCUCUGGCUUGUAACUGACGCUGAGGCUCGAAAGCGUGGGAAGCAAACAGGAUUAGAUACCCCCGUAGUCCCUGUCUCUUAUACC